rnacentral:rRNA from 1 species
ACGUACGCUGGCGGCGUGCUUAACACAUGCAAGUCGAACGGAAAGGCCCCUUUGGGGGUACUCGAGUGGCGAACGGGUGAGUAACACGUGAGUAACCUGCCCUUGACUUCGGGAUAACUUCAGGAAACUGGGGCUAAUACCGGAUAGGAAUCCUUGCUGCAUGGUGGGGGUUGGAAAGCUUCGGCGGUUUUGGAUGGACUCGCGGCUUAUCAGCUUGUUGGUGGGGUAGUGGCUUACCAAGGCUUUGACGGGUAGCCGGCCUGAGAGGGCGACCGGCCACAUUGGGACUGAGAUACGGCCCAGACUCCUACGGGAGGCAGCAGUGGGGAAUAUUGCACAAUGGGCGGAAGCCUGAUGCAGCAACGCCGCGUGCGGGAUGACGGCCUUCGGGUUGUAAACCGCUUUCAGCAGGGGCGAAGCUUGUGGUGACGGUACCUGCAGAAGAAGCACCGGCUAACUACGUG